CCUCGCUGUCUGUCUGGCCCACAGGGAGCCGAGGCCGAGGCCGAGCCCGGCCGGGCAGGAGGGGCGGGCAGGGUGCUCAGGGGCCCCGAAGGGUCUGGGCUGACGAGAAGGGUCUCCCGCUCUCCCAGGGAAACGGGAGCGAGGAGUGGGCUUCCAUGAAAACUGGCAGAUUGGAGAGAGGUCGGAGACCGCCACCCGAUCUUGGGCAAGGAUAAGGGAAGCUGGGGAGACAACAGUCUCUGGGCAGAACCUUCGACAACCCUCAGGCUGACCCAGAAAAGUAGACAAGGCGGUUUGGGAAGACAUGUCAGCCAGAAGAAAGAGCGAGGGAAGAAAGACAAGAAGGACCUGAGAUAGAGUUUCGGUUUUCCUUUUUUUCUCUCUCUCUUUAUUAAGCCCAACCUGCCUUCUACAACGGAGAAGUUUUGGUUUUCUAAGAGCUGAUGGACUUAGAAGCAUUUGGAUGAACAGCUCUGCUUACCAACUGAAAUAUCCCUAUUAUCUUCUAAAAGUGGAGCACUGCUUUGAGCCCUGGGAAGGCUUAAAGGCAACCAGCUCUCCCGAGUUGAUUUAUCAGCAGAAAACUGAUGGAAUGUAGAUGUAGCUCCUGACUUUAAGAGACCACAAUGGAAGGGAGGUUAUUUUCUAUCAUUUGAGGUCAUGUGAAAGAGAGGAGGAAAAGGGAAAGAGUUCGUGUAGCCAGACUUCGUUACUUCACUUACCCUAACUUCACCUUGAUCCUAGUUUCAGCCUCUCUGAAGACUUACAAAUCUGGUAGACCCGAGAGCAGGGCCUAUGGGAAGGUCUAGCUCGAAACAGUGUGGGCGAGCAGGAGGUACUGGAGAGAAGGCCACACUGUGGUUGAAAAAAAAAAAAACC
rnacentral:lncRNA from 1 species